rnacentral:lncRNA from 1 species
UCCGUUGUCAUCACACCACACCUCUCAAGAGACUCAUACAAACUCUUGCAUUCAUUAGUUUUGCCAGACUCAGCUGGGAAAAUGCAUUCUUUCGCGCCUAUAGCAACGAGAGAAGACUCCAGGUUAGUGAAGCGGCUAUCAUCAAGAAACUCAGCUAGUCCAAGAACCCUCCUUGUGAGAUCAACGUAAGCCAUCCCGACAACGCAUCUGCUCUCCUGAAAACUCGGAAACAAGGAGACAACAACCGGCGUGUCCUGCAUCUCGUUGUUUGCAAACAAAACAUCUUCAAAGCUACCAAUGUUUCCAGGAGAGCCAGCUUUCACAAGCCUCCAAUUCGACCCGCUUCCUUCGUAAAGCUCCACGGUAUGGUCAUUCCUCUCCAGGAGAAGAUCCCUGACGAUGGUUUCAAACAUGUUCUUACUAACGCUGACGCUUGAAAGAGCGUUUGCUCCACUCCCAAUCUGGCGUAGAGCAGUGGUGGUAUGGUAAUAAGUCUGAGCAAUGAAAACUGAGUUCUCCCCAUGAGCUGUGUAAUAAUCCUGCAACAAUGCAUUUAAUCAGUAACAAGUAAGUAAAGAAUCAAAGUCUAGACCAGUGAGAAGUAACAAAAGUUGUAGUUUCAGAACUCACCUUGCGAUCAAAGAACCUAACAGCUCUCAAGUCCUGUAAGGAAAACACCAAUCAAAACCCCACAUAAGCAUAGUUCCAGUGAAUACAUUUUGCUUCAAUCCCUAAUCUUAAAGGCAUAUAUCUAACUGUUUCCCCUAGAGAUAGAAGAAGAACAAGGAGACUUACAUUUGGUAGGGUUUUGAAGAAAGAGAGAAACCCUUGAGCCUGCUUAGCAUCUGAAUGUUAAAGGUAGAAACUUUCGUGAAACCCACAAACCCAAAUUGAAAUUCUAACACGAGGAAGGGAAAAACAAAAUUAGGGUUAUAGAUUUUACCUAAUUUAAGCUCCGGAAGCUUGUUCGUCUCCUCGAAGUUACCUUCCAUCGGUGGAUAAAGCAAGAGCCUUUGGCUACGUUCUGAGACUUAAGGAGCAAAUAUUCUUUUCUCCUGGCGACUGGAAUAGAAAGAGACAACUUUUUCGAGGGCAGUUUAUGGUGUCGGGUUUGGCGGGAAAAUGAUGGGCGGCAACUUUUUUCCCCGGCGGCGCGUUGAUCGACGUUCUUUGCGAUACGCGUGUUGGUCCAUUAAAGAUAAAGCCCAUAAACUCGUAUUGGGCCUACUGGGCUAAAUAAACAUCUCUGUUUAUUAGUUCACUAUGUGUUUUGUCCGCGAUGCGGGCUUAAACAUUUUCAUAAAUUUUUGAAAGUUCUUUCUACACUAUUUUCAUUAUACUAAAAUAAAUUUUAAAAUAACUCAAUAUUAUAUUAUAAUUAUAUAAUUUUAAAAAAUGAUUUGAAUAAUAUUUAAUUAUAUAAUUUAUGUUUUUUUAAAUUUUUUACUAAAACACUUUUUCAGAUAACAAUACAAUAUCUACACGUGCAAAGAUACAGUCUCUGAUGGAAACUGAAGCUUUAUCACAAGGAACAAAGGAACCAACUUGAGCCAUCAGAACAGUCACACCAACUUGGCGAAUGAAAGUGGACUUCCCUCCCAUGUUAGGUCCCGUUAUUAUCUGAAACCAACUCUCCCCUCUCACCUGAUUUUGACAAGGGAAUUGCUUCAAAGUCAAAAUAGGGACACAGAGAUAAAACAAAGGCUAUCUCAUUACCAUAUUACAAUACUUACAAGUCUACAAUCAUUUGGUAUAAAGUUCACCCAAUCUUGAGCUUCUACGCAUGGAUGUCUGCUCCCUUCUAGUACAAUGUCUCCAACAUCCUGCAAUAUAUAGAACAAAGAAGAAAACAAUCUAAAUUUUCGAAACAAAACAAUCAAAUCAACUUGACGUUGUACUAACCGAAGAGGUGACUUCUGGUCUACAGUAUGGUGUAGGGCAACUAGCAGCCAAAUCAGCAAAGCUUAGCAAAACAUCCAUCUCAGAGAGCAUCCCUGCUAGCUCCUCAAACACCUAAACCACAUAAUAUACAUUAUAAAUAACAGUGUUCUAAAAAUUGGUCUAGGCUGCAAAUCGAACCUAAACAAAAUGAUUUUUAUAGAAUUAAAAAAAAAAAUCAGUAUAGGCACCCGCCUAAACAUUGAUAAAUACCAUACAUAUUUAUAUGAUUUAAGAUAGCCAUUUUUUGUAACAGUCCAAUACUUAAGAUGAAUUAACAACUAAACAUACCUCGGAGAAACUGGCAACAGUCUGAACUACACGAUCAACGAGCUCCUUUUGACAGCUCUUAUAAUCGUCCACAACACUUUGGUACUGGUCCCCAAGUUUCUUAAGCUUUGUGUUCGUAAACUUCACUCCGUCUUUGCGAGUCUCCAGCACCAAGAACUGUGUUGUCAGCUUCUUCCUGAUCUUAGGCUCUUCCUUCUUCGUGAUCCUGAACACAUGCCCAUACUGCGCUGCUUUGUCGAGUUUCAAGGCCUUGUCCACCGGAAGAUCGAGUUCUAUAGCUGUCUUUUUGUGCAGUUCGUGUAUCUGCUGCUCCAGCAACUCUUUCUGAUCUUUGAGAGAUGAUAACGUGGCGUCGUAGCUUGAGGAGAUCAUGUACUCUCCGUUCUCUAGCUGGUCAAGAUCUACAGAGUACUCUACCAGAUCAAUGAACUUGCCGAGGUGAUCUGCGUCUGAUAAGGCCUCAAGCCUUUUGAUGUAUCUUUUGCUGAUGAGUGAUGAGAACUCUCCGGUGUACUGUUGUAGUGAUGUUUUGAUGAAGGGAAGCCUUAUAGUUGACUGAUAGAGUUUGAUAAUGUGCUGUAAACCACCUCUUCUUCUCUCAAGACUCCGCACAAGCCUCUCAACAUCUGAGAUGCGCUUCAGAUGCUGUCUAAGAUCUUGCCUUAACCCAGCUUCUUCAACGAAGCACUGAACUAUAUCUAACCUCAUCGUAAUCUCGUUCAAAUCCACAAGAGGUUGCUUGAGCCACAUAUGAAGCAGUCUCUUCCCCAUCCCUGCGGUGCACGUUCUGUUCAUGAGACCAAACAAACUGAAGUUCUUGUUUGCGUCAGUUUUGCUCUCCAUCACAUUCAACGCCCUCAUAGCUGCAGAGUCGAGUCUCAUGAAUCCGCCGAUGUCGUAUCUGCGUAUUGUGAAGUUCCCAUAGUUACCCUCGUCCGAGAGAAGUUCAGAGAAGGAGAGUAAUGCACCAAGAGCAGGAGUCGCAAGCUCAAACCCAGAGAUUAAAUCUCUAACUGGCUCAAUGUUCCCCUUCACCAACCUCUUUAGAUCUGACUCUAAAUCUCUUCCUUUAAACUCCUGACGACUUCUCUCUGUUGUCAUCACACCACACCUCUCAAGAGACUCAUACAAACUUUUGCAUUCAUUAGAUUUGCCAGACUCAGCUGGAAAGAUGCAUUCUUUCGCGCCUAUAGCAACGAGGGAAGACUCCAGGUUAGUGAAGCGGCUAUCAUCAAGAAACUCAGCUAGUCCAAGAACCCUCCUUGUGAGAUCAACGUAAGCCAUCCCGACAACGCAUCUGCUCUCCUGA